UACGGGGGGAGCAAGCGUUGUUCGGAUUUACUGGGCGUAAAGGGCGCGUAGGCGGUCAGCACAAGUCAGUUGUGAAAUCUCCGGGCUUAACUCGGAAAGGUCAACUGAUACUGUGCGACUAGAGUGCAGAAGGGGCAACUGGAAUUCUCGGUGUAGCGGUGAAAUGCGUAGAUAUCGAGAGGAACACCGGUGGCGAAGGCGGCUACCUGGACAGAAACUGACGCUGAGGCACGAAAGCUAGGGGAGCAAACAGG
rnacentral:rRNA from 1 species